rnacentral:lncRNA from 1 species
AUGCUACCAGACCGACAGCUGGCUGGGACAGAGAGGUGGCUGCAUCACCAGGACGUCAGCUGUUACAAGCACUUUGGAAGGAAGCAGCUCACGGCUCUCUGCUUAGACCUAGCCAUGACGAGGACGUCUACGUGCGUAUACCACUUGUUUGUCUUGAGCUGGUAUAUCUUCCUCAACUUUUAUAUCUCACUAGAAGGAAAGGAUCCGCAGAUAUCCCUAAUCUUUCAAAAGGGGGGAAAAUGGAAGUACCUAACACUGCUUAAUCUGCUCUUGCAGGCCAUUUUCUUCGGGGUGGCCUGCCUGGAAGAUGUGCUGAAAAGAACCAAAGGGGAAAAAGACAUUAAGUUCAUAACGGCCUUCAGAGACCUGCUUUUCACCACACUGGCUUUUCCACUAUCCACAUUUGUAUUUCUGGCAUUCUGGAUUAUCUUUCUCUACGAUAGAGAACUCAUUUACCCUAAGGUCCUAGAUACCGUCUUUCCAGUGUGGUUGAAUCAUGCAAUGCACACUUUCAUCCUGCCCUUCUCGCUAGUCGAGGUCAUCCUCAGACCACACUGCUACCCGUUGAGGAAGAAAGGACUCACUCUGUUGACUGCUGCUGGGCUCGCCUAUGUCAGCAGUGUAUUCAGAUGGCCAAGAAUUUGUUCACUCCCUGUGUGGGGCUUCCCUGGCGGUUCAGAUGGUAAAGAAUUUGCCUGCAAUAUGGGACACCCAGGUUCGAUCCCUGAGUCUGGAAGAUCCCCUGGAGAAGGGAAUGGCAACUCACUCCAGUAUUCUUGCCUGGAGAAUCCCAUGGCAGAGAAGCCUGGACUAACACUGUGUAAAACAUACGCUACUAAUUGCUAGAGGGUGAGAAUGCAAACAGUUUUACCAUCAUCUCUAGAGUCUAAAAGCUUGCAUGAAGUCAUUCUUGGGUCUGUGCUCAAACUGUACGUUACCGUGAAAUAAUGGAGCAAAUGAAGGGAAGGGAUGGAGCCCUAUCACCCGCAGAAAUGUAGGCUGGUGGACCCUGACAGGGAGUUGAAGUGAUUUGGGAUUUGGGUUUUCUUAUCGUUAAUGAGAGGCUUCCCAGGUGGCUCAUGGGUAAGUAAGCUGCCUGCCAAUGCAAGAGAUAGGAGUUCGACCCCUGGGUCGGGAAGAUCCCCUGGAGAAGGAAAUAGCAAGCUGCUCCGGUAUUCUUGCCAGGGAAAACCCACAGACAGAGGAGCCUGGUGGGCUACAGUCCACAAGGUCAUGAAAGAGUUGGACACAAUUUAGUGAUGAAACAACAAUAACAAAUCGUUAAGGAAGUACAAAAUCAGCACUCUGGACAGUAGGCCUCAUUUUUGCUGGAAUGGACCAAAGGCACCUGUACGCCAGCUUUCUCUGCUGCCCUCCUGUUUGACAGCUCCCCACUCUGGCUGUUGCCUCGCCAGGGGAGCUCAGAUUCAUUGCUGCCAGCUGCCUCCACCCUUACAUAACACUCUGGGGGCACAUGGGCCUUCUCAGCCACAGAUGGCCAUCAACAAGGUCCCACAGACUGUGGAUAUCCAUGGAGAUAUUUUAGGGUCAUCUGUCAGGCAUGUCUGUUUGGAUGCUCAAAUAGGGAAACCGCAUAGCAGGAAUGAGGUAAAGAAUAUGGUCCCGAGCCAGAGAGAGCGUGGGAAACCAACAUGAGUCAAAAAAAUGGCAACAACCCUGACCCAGGGAAGCAUUUCUCUGCUGAAACCACAUUACAAUGACUUAAAAAUAGUCCCCAAGACCAUGGGGACGGCCUCCUAUGUGGCACUUGCUUUUUUGUUAUUUUUCAGAUUGCAAAAUUGGAGGGUUGGCCCCGAAGAGGGAAAAUAAAGCUUCGCAAAGUAGUAAUAACUGUAAAUCU